UGUUACAUUUAAAUAAAACAUACAUUUAAAAAGAAUUAGCAGCAUGUUUUCAGACAAACGCUAUUAUUUUUUUCUCGUGCUAAACCACGCCCCUCAGUACGUGACCUUUGCGCAACCUUGCUGUGAGUCAACGUUCACUUUUUAAUGCGGGAGAAACAACUUGAGAAGACGUGUUCAUCAGGCGGCCGAAGAAAAAUCUUAUUGAAAGACAAGGCAGCACGUGGGCGAUAAUAAUCCAGAGGAAUAUUUAUGAUCUACCUUGAGAGCAAACUUCAUGCAGUGUAGAAACUGUAAAUACAAUUGUGCCAGUCAAAAUCUGCUGCUGAGGCACUACAAGCUAAAGCACUGGCGCCCAGGCCGACGUGAACCAUUGUUGUGCCUGUACCCUGAGUGUGUCUGCUCUUUCAGUACACCAGUAAAACCACAAUGUUGUUACGAGUGAUUGUGAAUCCAGAGUGCAUAAAAAAAGCUGACACUCCCCAAAAGUGCCAUCAUCAGUAGAUGAGCUCAAAGAAAUUCUUUGUGACAAACUGAAAAUUGAUCAAAACUUUGUGAUCCAGUAUGAGGACCCCGAUUUUGAUGGUCAGCUCUGCAAUUUAAGUAACAUAGAAGAACUUCCAUCUGAAAAGGUCACACUGAAGAUUAUCUGGGAAACUGCAGCAGUAGCAGAACCCACAAGAAAUGAAAGCACAGGGUCUGAGACUGAUUUUACCCUAGACACAGCAAGCAUCUCAUCCAAUCUGUCCAGUCCAUCUUCUUCCACAGUCAGGGAAGAGCGCUGGCCACGUGUUUUCCUAAUUCCAAAUUUCUCCUAUGAUGUAGAGUUCAGACUGAGAAAAGCUAAUGAAGUC